rnacentral:rRNA from 1 species
UACGUAGGCAGCGAGCGUUGUUCGGAGUUACUGGGCGUAAAGAGUGCGUAGGCGGUUUUCUAAGUUUGGUGUGAAAUCUCCCGGCUUAACUGGGAGGGUGCGCCGAAAACUGGAAGGCUUGAGUAUGGGAGAGGUAAGCGGGAUUCCUGGUGUAGCGGUGAAAUGCGUAGAUAUCAGGAGGAACACCUGCGGUGUAGACGGCUUACUGGACCAUAACUGACGCUGAGGCACGAAAGCGUGGGUAGCAAACAGG